CUGUGAAUGAUUCUCGCACUGGUGCUUUCUCCAACGGGUCCUAAACUUUACACUUUGGAUAGAGUGGAGCUGCUGCCUCGUACGGAGACUGGAUAGAAAUCACCACAUUCAUGAGGGUGUUUGUUCAGGUGGCGUCACUCCUACGUGAUGCUCGUCCCUCAACCUACCAGUCUGGUUGAAUUCAUGGGAGUGGAGAAGCAAGCCAACUGCAACCACCUGAAAGCUGUGUCGUCUAGAAUGAGCCCUUGAGACGCUCCCUCCUCCUCCUCCCUCAUCAUAUUCUCCCUUGCAGUGUUCAUCCAGCCGGACAGUCGAUGGUGUUCAUCUUACACCCCCCAGAGGAAUACUGAGGCGGUCUUCCUCAUCCUCUUCAUCAGUCUUCUCAGGAAUGGUACCCCAACAAUUGAAUCCUACAGUCACCUAGGUGGUCCACCUUCCCUGUGGCCGACAUGGUUGCUGUUUGGACAGUGGAGAGGACAUGGAUGUCUCGUUUGUAAUGCCACUUUACUGCCAUCUGUUGACAUUUCUUAUUUUGUAUAACGGGUCAUUUAGGAUGGCAGUAGCAUUGUUGAUCUUGGGUCUUGGGAAAAAAGGGUGGCAAAGAAGGGAGUUGCAAACAUAGGAUCUGUACUCCAGUAUUCUCUAAGGGAGUUCUUCAUUACUAUCCACAUGAGAAGGACUGUCACCAGGAAGGUAUACAUUUCACUAAUUGUGGUUGUCACCCAUUUAGCGAGUUUACCCCCCACUCCUGGCUCUCUUCUCCUGUAGCUCUAAGGCAUAGCGAUUGGUCUCCUCUACUAAAUCUCCCACCAGCUCCUCUGUCAGAAACAACUUUAAGCACUCUGCCUCAGAUGAAAAUGGCAAGGGGCGUUGCACUCCAGACUGGGACUCAUCAAAGCAAACAGCAGGGCCAGGAGGGGUGAAAUGGCUGGCGGCCUUUCAGCUACCACAGAACUCCUGGACUUCAUCCACUGUCGGUCUGCCUCCAUCACCACCAGCAUCUUCAAAGGGACCUGGGACUUUGUCAGGAAUCCUCAGAUUCAGGCUUCUCAAUGGCUACAAGGUUGGGGGGCAGGUCUUCACUGUCAGAAUCUGAUUCCUGACUUUCAUAAUCAGACUUAUUGUCAGAUUUUUUUUAAAAUCUCCAGAAUUUCCACAUUUGUGAGUUGUCUCCUUUUGAAAAACAUUGCUAAUGCUACAGCUUAGCUCACUAGCUACAUACAUAAACAACAACACUGAAUGGCUCAGAGUGGGAGUGAGAGGUUACGUGAUUGACUGCCGGCACGCACCCAGAUUCUUGCAUAGAUUGCAAGAUUGUAAAUGGGCACAUAUUAUGUGUGUAAAAUACUUUUUUGAAGGUUGUACUGAUUAUGAGCUAAGCUAAUUCCAGCUGUGUAGCCAUGUUUGUUGACAUACAAUGCAUUCUGGGUUUCACGUAAUCGUCUGUUGUACCAAAGCUGUUAUAACAGAAUGAGGUGAGUAAGGGUUCACUCAUUUUUUGAGGACUUCCAGAAAUGAAUGGUGGGAUGUGAACGAUAGGUAGACGACACCUCCCCCCAACAUGCAUACUAUAAACACACCAAACUCAUCUUGUCUCCUCUUAUCUUUGGUUUCUGUGAGGAGAAAAAAGCUUGGCAGCACGCCAUCUUCAGCACUACCCAUCUUCGGAGUACUUUAGAUUUCUAGAGAGUGUUUUACUCAAUUAUUUCGAUCAAUGGUGAGCACACCCGUGAUGUGACUAAUUAUAAAUAGUCAUUUCUAUUAGCUAAUUCAUAUUGCAGUUUGUCAGCGAGAGUAAUUCAAAUAUGUCCGCUUGUGUUAAGUCAAUCUUUCCUCAGUUAGCGCUAGGACAAAUGUAGCCUACAUUUUUCCGAUUUCGAUGAUUGUGUUAUGCUGUAGAUACUUCUGAAUGUCUGAACAUUGCAUCCAGUCAUAAACAGAACUGUGAUUCAAACAUUGCUAAGAGCUGCUGGCAAACGCAGUAAAGUUUGAAUGAAUGCUUACGAGCCUGCUGCUGCCUACCACCGCUCAGUCAGACUGCUCUAUCAAAUCAUAGACUUAAUCAUAAU